GGCCGGGCGCGGUGGCUCAAGCCUGUAAUCCCAGCACUUUGGGAGGCUGAGGUGGGUAGAUCACGAGGUCAGGAGAUCGAGACCAUUCUGGCUAACACAGUGAAACCCCGUCUCUACUAAAAAUACAGACAGAAAAAAUUAGCCGGGCUUGGUGGCGGGCGCCUGUAAUCCCAGCUACUCAGGAGGCUGAGGCAGGAG